UGGGGAAUUUUGGACAAUGGGCGAAAGCCUGAUCCAGCAAUGCCGCGUGUGUGAAGAAGGCCUUCGGGUUGUAAAGCACUUUUGUCCGGAAAGAAAUGGCUCUGGUUAAUACCUGGGGUCGAUGACGGUACCGGAAGAAUAAGGACCGGCUAACUACGUGCCAGCAGCCGCGGUAAUACGUAGGGUCCAAGCGUUAAUCGGAAUUACUGGGCGUAAAGCGUGCGCAGGCGGUUGUGCAAGACCGAUGUGAAAUCCCCGAGCUUAACUUGGGAAUUGCAUUGGUGACUGCACGGCUAGAGUGUGUCAGAGGGGGGUAGAAUUCCACGUGUAGCAGUGAAAUGCGUAGAGAUGUGGAGGAAUACCGAUGGCGAAGGCAGCCCCUGGGAUAACACUGACGCUCAUGCACGAAAGCGUGGGGAGCAAACAGGAUUAGAUACCCUGGUAGUCCACGCCCUAAACGAUGUCAACUAGUUGUUGGGGAUUCAUUUCCUUAGUAACGUAGCUAACGCGUGAAAGUUGACCGCCUGGGGAGUACGGUCGCAAAGAUUAAAACUUAAAGGAAAUUGACGGGGGUCAUAGCUGUUUUCCU
rnacentral:rRNA from 1 species